AAAAGUUUAGUUAAAUUUAUAACAUUAGACUGUCAAGCUGAAAUUAUUUUUAAAAUAGCUUUUU
rnacentral:tRNA from 1 species